GCUCAAAUUUGAAAUCUGACGUCUUUGACGUUCGAAUUGUAAUUUGGAGGGGCAUUUUCGGAGCUGGCGUCGUCCUAAGUUCCUUGGAACAGGACGUCACAGAGGGUGAGAAUCCCGUGCCUGGAUGACUGUCCAGCUCCAUGUGAGGUGUCUCCGACGAGUCGAGUUGUUUGGGAAUGCAGCUCAAAAUGGGUGGUAAAUUUCAUCUAAAGCUAAAUACUGGCGAGAGACCGAUAGCGCACAAGUAGAGUGAUCGAAAGAUGAAAAGCACUUUGAAAAGAGAGUUAAAAAGUACGUGAAAUUGUUGAAAGGGAAGCGCUUGAGACCAGAUUCAACCUUCGGUGAUCAGCUGUGCUUCUGUACGGUGCACUUGCCGGGGGUUGGGCCAGCAUCGGUUUUGACGGUGGGAUAAAGGUUCGAGGAAUGUGGCUCCCCGAUUCCGGGGAGUGUUAUAGCCCUGAGCGCAAUGCCACCAGUCGGGACCGAGGACCGCGCUUCCGCUAGGAUGCUGGCGAAAUGGUUUUAAGCGGCCCGUCUUGAAACACGGACCAAGGAGUCUAACAUCUAUGCGAGUGUUCGGGUGGAAAACCCUUGCGCGUAAUGAAAGUGAACGGAGGUGGGAACCCUUCGGGGUGCACCAUCGAC
rnacentral:rRNA from 1 species